GCCAUUUUAAAAUUCCCGAACAGCGGUGUUUUGCCGUCGAGUGUCUGGAACCCAAAUCGGACACUCGACUAGGCCAACACCGCUGAGACCUCCACAAGCUCGGUCCGUUCGGUUCCAAACUACCGAACGGCCCCUCGUUCGGUAGACAGAAACAACUGAACGACGGGAUUUAUGCUAACCCUACCUGAUCUCUGUAGCCUCAGCCUUUCAUGCAAUUUAUUCCCCUAUACUGUGACCGACCGCAGGGCCCCAUCACUGCCCACUAUUAUCAAGGAGAAGGCACAACCUCAUAUGGCGCGGCAGUCCCCAUCACAACUAUAGAACAGUGGGAAGUUCUUCAUGAAGCGGAUCCAGUACAGGCCAAUGCUGAUAAUCGUCAGCACCAUAGAAAAACUUGGAGAGUAAGCGGUCCAAGGACUACGUGACUCAGGAGCUACUAUAACCCUGGUAAAAAGUCACCUGGUCUCGGAUCAGGCUAAGCUCAGCAAAACUGUAGCCGUCAGGGUAGCCAGGGGAGCAGUGUACCGGCUACCUACCGCAAGGGUACAUUUGCAUUGGGGAGCGGGGUCAGGACACGUGGAGGUGGGGUUGAUGCCGCAGUUACCAGAGGAGGUUUUGUUGGGGAAUGAUC